CCAGACUCCUACGGGAGGCAGCAGUGGGGAAUAUUGCACAAUGGGGGAAACCCUGAUGCAGCGACGCCGCGUGAGUGAAGAAGUAUUUCGGUAUGUAAAGCUCUAUCAGCAGGGAAGAAAAUGACGGUACCUGACUAAGAAGCCCCGGCUAACUACGUGCCAGCAGCCGCGGUAAUACGUAGGGGGCAAGCGUUAUCCGGAUUUACUGGGUGUAAAGGGAGCGUAGACGGCAGCGCAAGUCUGAAGUGAAAUCCCAUGGCUUAACCAUGGAACUGCUUUGGAAACUGUGCAGUUGGAGUGCAGGAGAGGUAAGCGGAAUUCCUAGUGUAGCGGUGAAAUGCGUAGAUAUCACGAAGAACCCCGAUUGCGAAGGCAGCUUACUAAACUGUGACUGACAUUGAUGCUCGAAAGUGUGGGUAUCAAACAGGAUUAGAUACCCGAGUA
rnacentral:rRNA from 1 species